rnacentral:RNase_P_RNA from 1 species
UGGCAACAGGGACGGCACGGUAAACCCCACCGGGAGCAAGACCGAAUAGGGAUGACGCGGGUCACGCGCAAGCGCGGCCACAGCCUGUUUCCGGGCCAGUCAUCCGGGUGGGUUGCGUGAGGCAGGGUGCAAACGCUGUCCCAGAUGAAUGGCUGCCACGUUCCGGGAAACCGGAGCCAUACAGAACCCGGCUUACAGGCCAACUGGCAAU